AACGCUGAAGAGAUUCUUCUGCCUCAACUCCUCUUUGCUUGGGAUUUGCACAAGACUGACCUGUCAAUUUAAUACAGGUUUAAUUCAAAUGCAAUUACAAGUAGUGCCUCCAAAUUAGUGAUGACUUCAAUAAAAGUUUUAGCACAAACCCUGGCAGGUUGAUUUCCGCAGGUUUAAUUCAAAUGCAAAUAAAAGCCGUUCCUCCAAAUUAGUGAUGACUUGCAUAAAAGUUUUAGCACAAACCCUGGCAGGUUGAUUUCCGCAUUCAGGAACAAAAAGUGCAAGAAUUGGAUCUGCUGGCGACCAGCUAAAAUCCAUAACAUUUUCAACCUUGAUAGAUUUCUUGUCA
rnacentral:lncRNA from 1 species